AUUGAACGCUGGCGGCAGGCCUAACACAUGCAAGUCGAGCGGAUGAAGGGAGCUUGCUCCUGGAUUCAGCGGCGGACGGGUGAGUAAUGCCUAGGAAUCUGCCUGGUUGUGGGGGAUAACGUCCGGAAACGGGCGCUAAUACCGCAUACGUCCUGAGGGAGAAAGUGGGGGAUCUUCGGACCUCACGCUAUCAGAUGAGCGUAGGUCGGAUUAGCUAGUUGGUGGGGUAAAGGCCUACCAAGGCGACGAUCCGUAACUGGUCUGAGAGGAUGAUCAGUCACACGGGAGCUGGAACACGGUCCAGACUCCUACGGGAGGCAGCAGUGGGGAAUAGUGGGCAGUGGGCGAAAACCUGAUCCAGCCAUGCGGCGUGUGUGAAGAAGGUCUUCGGAUUGUAAAGCACUUUAAGUUGGGGGGAAGGGCAGUAAGUUGAUACCUUGCUGUUGUGACGUUACCAACAAAAUAAGCACCGGCUAACUUCGUG
rnacentral:rRNA from 1 species